UACGGGGGGGGUAAGCGUUGUUCGGAAUUACUGGGCGUAAAGGGCUCGUAGGCGGCCAACUAAGUCAGACGUGAAAUCCCUCAGCUUAACUGGGGAACUGCGUCUGAUACUGGAUGGCUUGGAUUCGGGAGAGGAAUGCGGAGUUCCAGGUGUAGCGGUGAAAUGCGUAGAUAUCUGGAGGAACACCGGUGGCGAAGGCGGCAUUCUGGACCGAUAUUGACGCUGAGGAGCGAAAGCCAGGGGAGCAAACGGG
rnacentral:rRNA from 1 species